rnacentral:rRNA from 1 species
UUCCGGUUGAUCCUGCCGGACCUGACUGCUAUCGGAUUGAUACUAAGCCAUGCGAGUCAUUGUAGCAAUACAAGGCAGACGGCUCAGUAACGCGUAGUCAACCUAACCUAUGGAUGGGAAUAACCUCGGGAAACUGAGAAUAAUGCCCAAUAGAACACUAUGCCUGGAAUGGUUUGUGUUCCAAAUGAUUUAUCGCCGUAGGAUGGGACUGCGGCCUAUCAGUUUGUUGGUGAGGUAAUGGCCCACCAAGACUAUUACAGGUACGGGCUUUGAGAGGAGUAGCCCGGAGAUGGGUACUGAGACACGGACCCAGGCCCUAUGGGGCGCAGCAGGCGAGAAAACUUUGCAAUGUGCGAAAGCACGACAAGGUUAAUCCGAGUGAUUUGUGCUAAGCGAAUCUUUUGUUAGUCCUAGAAACACUAACGAAUAAGGGGUGGGCAAGUUCUGGUGUCAGCCGCCGCGGUAAAACCAGCACCUCAAGUGGUCAGGAUGAUUAUUGGGCCUAAAGCAUCCGUAGCCGGCUCUGUAAGUUUUCGGUUAAAUCUGUAUGCUCAACAUACAGGCUGCCGGGAAUACUGCAGAGCUAGGGAGUGGGAGAGGUAGACGGUACUCGGUAGGAAGGGGUAAAAUCCUUUGAUCUAUUGAUGACCACCUGUGGCGAAGGCGGUCUACCAGAACACGUCCGACGGUGAGGGAUGAAAGCUGGGGGAGCAAACCGGAUUAGAUACCCGGGUAGUCCCAGCUGUAAACUAUGCAAACUCAGUGAUGCAUUGGCUUGUGGCCAAUGCAGUGCUGCAGGGAAGCCGUUAAGUUUGCCGCCUGGGAAGUACGUACGCAAGUAUGAAACUUAAAGGAAUUGGC